AACUUUCACCCCGCCUGGCAGCCCGCUGAGAGCGAGAGAAAACCACGUGCACCAAACUUUAGGGGAGGAAAAAUGGGAACGUGGGGAGAAGACGUGAGGCGGCAGAUCUGAAAAAGAUGGUAGGUGGAGGGACCCCAGGGAUUCACCCUGGCCUCGGACUAAUCCUAUGGGGCGCUUGCAAACCCCGGCCAUCCCCUGGAGUCUGAAGGUACGGCCAAGUCCUGAUCCCACACGGUUCACUGGUUCCCGGCGGGCUGCGCUCGGCGCGGGGAGUGGCCGGGGGCCCAGAGACGGAGCCAGUGUCAGGCCCGGGCCCUGUCUGGCCUCCCUCCUGCUCCCCACUGCGUGGGGGCUGGGGGUGGGCUUCCUGAGCCGAGGGUAGAAGGUGGGGAGGCCCCUUCAGGGCUUUGUGAACGGUCACCCCCUGGCGCGCACUGCCUCCCUCUGCGGAAAGGGAAUUUCCCGUAAAGUGCUCUGCGAACCAGUGAAGAAGGGGCCCAAGGCCAGAGCCAUGCGGGCAAAGUGAAGUGCAAAGUUGAGGCAAUUAUCCGGACAAAUUAGAUUGUAAACAAAACCCCGCGUCUCUGAACAUCGCUUUUGCCCAGGGGGACUGGAGGGAUUGUGGUGGUGGCGGCGAUGGUGUGUUUGGGUUGGGAGGGGGAGGUCUGGGUGAGGAAAUGCCCACGGCCCAAGGGGGAGGGCUGUGUUGUUAGCAGACGCACCACUCAGAGUCCCGUGGAAAUCUCAAUACCCGUCCCCCUCCCCGCCCCACACACGCCGGAAACAUCUCCCAUCUGUCUGCAUGUGUUGGGGGUGGGGAGAAGUGAAGGAGGCCUCAGGGGUCCUCAUGAAGUACCCCAACCCAGCUCAGUGAUGCCGGGUCCCCAUGACCAAGGGAGGAUCCUGUUGUGGGAUCAGGACAAGAAGACAGUGGCUCUUGAAGCCUCUCCUGGCCCUAAAUCCUCAGGCAGGUGGACAAGAGGCUGGCAUAGUAUGUGAGCCCCUGUGGAGUGGGAGCUGGAAGCCUGAGGUGUGGGGUCGGAGCUGCAAGGAUUGAUGCUUAGUUGCCUGGGGGGAGGGGAUUUCUUGGCCGUUCCAGUGGUCCUUGAAAGAAAAGGGGACCUCAGAGAGGAGGCACCCUCUUGGGUUGUUUUUCAUCACUUCUGUCCCUUUUCUGCAAUGUUAGUGACACCUGCACAGGUCCACAUUUUAUGUAUUUGCCUUUUUGGGCAGGUGGGACAGGCAUACUUAGGUCCUGCUGGAGCGUUUUAGAUUUCUAGGUGUGAAAUUGUGCAGGGAAGACUCUAAGUGCCAUUUAUGUGGAUAUCUCAGUGUCCUUUCCAGUGUGGCAACUGAGAUAACCAUAGCCAUAAGAAUAAAAUAACAGCUAACAUCUGAGUCGUACCACCCACCAGCCAUUUAAUCUUCACAGUAACCCCAGGAGGGAGAUAUUUGUAUUAUCUCCAUUUUAUAGAAGAGGAAACUGAGGCACAAAGAGAUCAAGUAACUUGCCCAGGCUUACACAGCUGCUGGUCAGUGAUGAGCCAGAUUCCAACUAGAGCCACUUCAGUGAGGACAAGAAAGAAGCUCAUGGUGGUCUCUGAAGCGACACUGCCUGCUUGUGGGUUAGCUGAGGGGAAGGAUAUUCUGGGAGAAAGAAAGCCCUUGGUAGUACUAUCUGAUUUACCUUCUGUUGAGGCCCAGCUCUGGUGGAAAUCAUGGUGUGUGGACAGCCCUAGGCCAAGCCUGGAGUGGCAAGUCCUUGUGUCAGACCAGCUGGGCCAGUGACUAUGUCCUCAGUUCUCCUUCCUAUCCUUCUUGCAGCAAAGGCUGAGGGUGGGGUGAGAACUAGGGGCUUUGGAGACAAAAGAGAGAAUUUCUGUAGGGGGGUAUUGAAUGAGGUGACCUCCGAGGGGCUUCUCCAGCCCUUUUCUGGCUGGUUCACUGAAUGUUUUUCCCAUCCCCUUCCUGCAGCAGCCCUUGUACCUUACACAUGGGCUCACUUGCCCAGAGGGAUUGCCCUGGGAAAUGCUUCACUUUCAGUUCAGUUUACCCCUCAUCUCCAGGCCAGUUCAGUUCCCAGCUCCCUGUGAGCUACAGUGGGGGCUCAAGGCAUCAAAAGACCCUGUCUUGUCUUCACCUAAAGGGCAUUUUAGCGAGGAAGACAAAGCCUCCCCAAAGAAAGAUACAGAACAAAUGCCCCGAAAUCAAAGAAGCCAGUCCAAAGCCCUUCUUCCUGGUGCAAGAGCUUCGUUAAGAAGGUUGAAAAGAGUAGCCCUUGGCUCCAAAGUGGGAGUGACCGGGAGCAGGCAGGAGGGUCCUCUUUCUGUCCUUGUUCCUUCACAGGACUCAGGGCAGGUGCAGGUGCUUUGGCGGUGGCCGGAACCAAGGCUCAUGGCUUGGCCCCUCCAGGGGGGCCAUAGUUAAGAGCACAGGGGCUAGAGUCAGGCAGCCUUGGGUUGAACUUCAGCGUCUGUCACUUAACCAGUGUGUGACCCAGGCAAGUUACAUGAUGUUUGAGUCUCAGUUAACUCACUCAUCACCUCACUCAUCAAUUGGGAGGUUGGGAGGCCUCCUUGGGUGUUUGGGAGGGAGGAUGGGCAAAACUUCUAGCCUGGUAAUGUGUUCCUCACAUGCUUUCCAUAAUUACUUAUUUUCCCCUUGAUGAGCUCCAGGGUCCUCACUUAAAAUGACGAAUGCUGACCUCACAAAACUGCAAAUCAUGAGUUGCCACUUAUUAAAUGCUUGCCAGGCAGUCGAAUAACGUGCUGUUCAGCUUAUCACCCCAGCAAUGGUGACUCUUCUGCAGGUGAAGCUAAGAGAGGUCAAAUGACUUGCUCAGUUCACAUAGCUAGGAAGUAGUGUGGCGAGGACUUGCUCCCAGGUCUCCUGCUUUGAAGCAGACGCCCUUUCCCAAGGUCAGCCGCCACCCUAUUGUGGAGGUGAAGUGGGCUGAUGGAUGAGCUUGUUCCUAGCAGCAGGCCUGAUACUCAGGAGUAGGUUGGGGUGGUAGUGGUGUGUACAUCUAGAAACAUUUGCUUCAUUCCCAUGGUCCCAACAAACCUAAGCCCAGACAGUUUAUGUUUCUAUUAUUAUUAUUAUUAUUGAGACAGAGUCUCACUCUGUUGUCCAGGCUGGAGUGCAAUGGCACAAUCUCAGCUCACUGCAACCUCCGCCUUCUGAGCUGAGGCAGGAGAAUCGCUUGAACAUGGGAGGUGGAGCUUGCAGUGAGCUGAGAUCGUGCCAUUGCACUCUAGCCUGGGCAACAAGAGCGAAACUCUGUCUCAAAAAACAAAAAACAAAAAUAAAACCCACUUUAUCAGCAUAAUACAGUAACUCCACUCCACUCCACUCCUAAGUAUAUGCCAAUAAAAAUGCAUAUGUACAUAUGUUCACCAAAAGGCAUACACCAGAAUGCUAGGCCAUCUACUCGCAUGUGCUCACUAUUCACAACAGCUGUCAACAAUGGAAUAGGUGACUAAACCACGGUCUUCUCAUCCGUGGGCUAGUCCUUGGCAAUGAGAAUGAGCAAACCAUUGCCACGAGCAACAACAUGGAGGAAUCUCACAAAUCCAACGUUGAGCAUAAAAGCCAGACACGAAAGAAAACACCGUUUGAUUCCAUUGAUAGGAAAUUCAAAACCCAAUCCAAUGAAUUGAUGGCAUUAAAACUCAGGAGCAUGGCUGUUUUAGGUGGGGGUGUGACGGAGGGGCACAAGGGGAUUUCUGGGGGUCUUUUUGAAUUUGGGAGUUGGUUACAUGCAUGUGUUCACUUUGUAAACAUUAAUUGAGCUAUACAUUUUAUGCUUAAAAGUGAAACAUGUAAAAAUCAUUGCUAAUAUAGGCCUUUCUGUGACUCUCCUUCUUUCCCAUUCUCCAUCCUUCCCUUGUGGUUUUCUGAAGUUGGCCUUCCCAAGUAAGUUUUCUACUCUUACUCCUUUGGUAUUGCUUGGGUAUCUCAAAAUUUUCUUUUGUUUUAGUUAUUUAUUUUUAUUCACUUUUGGGGCAUAGUAAAGUAUGAAGCAAUUAAAAUUUUAAAUGAAAGGUAGCCUGCUCCUUGUUUUUACUUGUGUUUUGCUGAACUUCAUGCUGCCGAGAUGAAUGUCUACAUGUUUGUUGCAUGUGUUGUGUGUGUCUCUAGGUCACUUACUUAAGAGGCUGCUGGAGAGGAUUCUACCAUAUCAGUGUGUCCCAUCUUGUUUUGUUACCCAGCCUCCCACUGAUGGGGCAGUUCGAUUGUAGUGGAUAUUUGGGUAUUAUGGUCUCCUUGCUGCAGUAGGCUUCCUUCUGUGACCUCCCUCCCCACUGUGCCUCUCCUUCCCCCUGUGGUUCUUCUGCUCCAUAAUCUUUUCCCUUUCCCAUCUCCCCACUGUUCCUCCAUUCCCUGCUUCCCAAUCUUUCUGACUGGGAAAGACCUAGGAUCUGUGCCGAUUGGAGGUGAGGGAGGGAUAGGAGAGGGACAGCCUUUUCCUUUUCCACAAAGGCUCCUCUUCCCCAAGAUCAAUGAUGAUUUAAAGAAAGAAAUAUUUCAUUAGGGGUUGACAUCUUAAUGAACCGUGCCAGGAACCUUCAAGGCACUCUCUAGGCUUCCUCGGUUUUAAGCGGGGCUCCUACCUCUGGGGGAGGCUUAUCAGUUUACCAUAUUGCCCCAAGUAGAUGACCAUGGUAGUGUGGGUAGCUGUGCCAGGGGCUGUGGAGGAGAGGGCCCCCAGGACUGGGGCGAGGCUGGCUUGUCCUUCUAGGUGCCAGGCUGACCGGGUGCCUGGGCCCUUGGAGGUAUUUGGAGUUCCUUCUGGGACGUUUAGGGAGUCAGAGACUCAGGCCUUGUCCAAAAGGUGGUGGGCAUGGGACUUUGGGCUGAUUGGUGGAAAAUCAGUCAUUAAAGAUCAGGAAAUAAGCGAUAGCUUGACAAGCAGUGAGCAAUUUCCCACUAGUUGGAACACAGCAUCUUUAGGUCAAAUGAGAUCCCUACAUGGAGGGAUUUCUGUGCAGGAAGAGAGCAGGACACACAGAGAGGGGCCAAGAGAGCAGACCCAGUGCCUUAUCCCUCCCCCAUGCACCCCACCCAUGGGGGUGGGGAUGGGGUGGAGGAUGCAUGAGGGUAGCAGAAGCCCCAGGAGUGGGCACAGAGAAAAGAAUUCCUUUUUCCUUCAUUUAGUUCUUCCUCAUCUUUUUUUUUUUUUUUUUUUUUGGACACGGAGCUUCCGCGUUGUUGCCCAGGCUGGCGUGCAGAGGUGCAAUCACAGCUCACUGUGAUCAACCUCCUGGGCUCAACUGAUCCUCCCACUUCAGCCUUCCGAUUAACUGUGACCACAGGUGUGAGCUACCAUGCCCGGGUAGAGAAGGGGUCUCUGUGUUGCGCAGGUUCGUCUCAAACUCCUGGACUCAAAUAAUUCUCCUGCCUCAGCCUCCCAAAGUGCUGGGAUUGCAGGUGCAAGCCACCUCGUCCGGCCCUUCCUUAUCUUUUAAGAGCUAUCCCACAUUUUCCAUCCACUUGAAGACUUUUGGAUUUAAGUCUCAAUUCUGUCACUUUUCUAGCCCCAAAUCCUGAAGCAAGGGGCUUAACCUUAGUUUACUCAACUGCAAGAUGGGAAGAAAAAUGAGACUCUGGCAGAGAGGUCGUGAGGACAAGUAUGGCUCAUGUAGGAUUCUUCUCAGUUUAGGCAUUGGAUAGACUAUAGCUACUGUUAUUCUUUCUUGAUUAACCCAGCCCACUUCUGCCUCUUUCCAGGUGCUCUUUAGCACUCCUAUGUCAUUGAUGUUAUAAUGUGUUGUUAGCUAACUUAUUUAAUAAGCUCCCAGUAACUUUUAACAAACCCUAUUGUUUGUUAACUGUUUAGCCAUUUUAUGCCUCAUUUCUCCAACUAGAUAAUAAACUCCUUAAUUUAGGGACCCACAAUUUCAGUCAUUUGGGGAUUUCUCAUUGCAUCCAGCUUAAUUUCUUUUGCAAGGUAGCUGCACAGUACAUGCAUAUUGAUUUGAUUAUGAUUUGAUACUUUAGAGCAAAGUUUAAAAAACAAAAAAUAGCCUAACGCUUUAGGGCAAGUUGGUGUCCUGCAGGUAUCAGCUGCAUGUUGUAGGACAUAUGUAAUAACUGUGUCUUCAGUGAUCGCAAGGAAAGAGCUAGCUAGGGUCAAGGGGGAAACCUGGGUAGAAAAUGGGACAAGGAAGACUCUCAUUCCCUCAGAGCCAUCCCCUUCUCUCAGAGGGCUGUGCUCCCCAUUCUUCUCAUCUCUACUCUGGCUCCCUUUCUGCUUGUUGACUUAGGAUGUCUUCAGAACUCUGUGCUUAGCAGAGGAUGUAUUCCUUCCCCAUGGAACCUGGAAGACCUGGGGCUUGGAGUCUCAGCUGCUGGCACUGGAGGGUGAGGUGGGAUAUGAAGGAGGGAAGUUAAAGCCCAGGUAGACUCACAUUGAAAAUAGCUGCCACCUGUUGAGCAUCAACUGUUCACCAGGCACUUUUAAUAUGUAUCUCUGAUUCCCACAACAGUCCUAUUUUGUUUUUGAGAGAAAGCAGUGCUCCAAAUGUCAGAGGCAAUGAAUGUAGAGUAGAAAUAAGUGAAGAUAAGAGUGUCUUUAUACAUCCCUUAUUGUGUGUGGCAUCUGGCUGGGUCCAUGGAGUGGGGCUCACACACUUCCUCAUCCUUGUAAUUCUAUGCCAGGCCUGGGCCCCAGGCCCCAGCUCCUUCCUGGUUCUCCUGCACCCCCUCUUCUUUCUGGUCUUCACCAUGUGCCCUAGGGUCUUCUCUCCUCCAGUCCCCUCUGCUCUUGAGCCAUGGCUCUCCAGCCCCCAGGACCUCUCUCAAGGUUGUUAGGCAGCAGGAAGUCCCUGGAGCCAGGCAGCUGAAGGCAAACUGAAGCUGGGUCUUGCUUAAAGAAGAACCACCCAUGCAUCAGACACUGUGCUAAGCACGCUCCACACAUGACCUCAUUUCACCUCCCAACAGUCCUCUAAGAUGAUGCAACAGAUACUUGUUGGUGCCCUGUCUGGUGCACUGUGACUUUUCACCCCUAAGGCUUCCAAUCACUAGUGCCUGACUUUCCUAGCCUAAGGGUUUCCUUUGGGAAUUAGAGCCCACUUUUCCACUGUGUGGGAGACCAGAAGUGCCAGGGAACUAACACUUCCUGGGGGAGCCCUCCACCCAUAACUGAUGGGAACUGGUAUAUAAAUACCCCUACUCCCUUACUCCCCUUGUGGGAUAACUCCGAGUCAUGUGUGCCAUGCAUACUCCCAGGGUUUCCUCUGUGGGACUGAGCCCAUCCUGUAGCUGGCUUGGUAACAUAUACUUUGUUGCCUCCUUUCCUUGUCUUACUUCCCCACUUUUCUACUGGUAUUUCCUUCACCUCCUAAAUCAACCAUUCGCAAUGGAAUAGUGUCUCAGGGGCUGCUUAUGUGGGAACCCAGCCUAAAUCAGGUUGAUAGUAUUAUUAUCUUCAUUCUAUAAAUGACAAGACUAAAGCUCAGAAAGGUUGAAAUUCAUACACGGUUCCACAAUUAUGUAAGUACAGCACCUGUCUUCAUACCCUGGCUUGUUACACACCAGAGUGAUCACCUCAUUGCUCUAGUAUACGGCUUCUUGAGGGCCCUUUCCCUCUCAAGAAGACUGGUUCAAGGCGAUUCCCCUUGGCCUCCUGCCUUGAGAGGUAGGAGGUGGGGAGCAGGGUGGGUCAGGGGUACACUGGGAGUAUUUCCAGCCCACCUAGCCCCCCGUCUCCCUGUGGGACACUGGCAAGCAGUCAUAGCCAGUCUCUGGAUUGCAGGCAGACAGAGAAGCAGAGAACACCUACGGGGCUGGAGAUAUGAUGAAUAGAAAGAAGUGAAAGCCACCUGGAGUGCUGGAAAAGAAGAGUACUGAAUCAGGGGUACAAGGCGAGGGCGGGCUCGGGGCUGAGGAAUCUUUCUGAGCAUUUGCAGUACACAGCAGCUCCUGCAAAAACAGAAGGAAUGAGAUGAGAGACAGGAAAGUAUUUAUUUUUUUCUGUCUUAUUUUAGAGUCAGGAUCUCACUUUGACACCCAGGCUAGAGUGCAGUGACAUGACCAUAGCUCGCUGCAGCCUUGAAUUCCUGGGCUCAAGAGAUCCUCCUGCCUUAGCCUCUGAGUAGCUGGGACUACAAAAGGAUUUCUUGAUGUUAGAGUUUGCUCAGCCAGGGAAUGUGGAAAGUCCCCUGCUGAGAACCUUCGGACCAGACAAGAAAUUGGCCUCUUUUAUGAGAGUGGAGGUGGGCCCCUUGGGACAGGAAAGACCUGAUCCCUCCAGAGACAAAAGUUACCUGGUGAGAACACCUUCAUGUUUUCUAUUUGUUUGGUUUUCAUGACAUGUUUGUCUUAGUUUAGGUUCUCCCUGAAGCAGACUCUGACAGUGAUUCAAGCAUAAGUGGUUUAUUUGGGAGGUGGUCCCAGAAAUACCAGUGGGGGAGCAGGGCAGGGAGAAUGAAGGGAAGGCAGCCAAUAAAGGGAGUGUUAUCCCACUGUCAGCAAGAGGAGUGCAGUCCCACUGAGGACUUGAGCGUGCGUAACACACACCGCACACAAGCCAGCCCACGGACGCAGGCCUUAGGGUACUCAUCCACCAACUUCCCCUUCAUCGUGGGCUGCGUCCUCCUUCUAGGCGCAUUCACUCUCCAGCACUUCCGGCCUGCUCUGGGCUGGAGCCAAGGGUGUUUCCACGGCCAGGAAAAAAGCCUCAGGCAAACAGCAGGUGUUGGCAGUAAGCAGGCUUCUACCUUUAGAGGCGAACACUGAGAGAGAUGGGCAGGGCGCCAGUGCCUGCCACACUCUGCCGGUCUGUUCUCCUGCUUAACUUUUCCUUUUCAUGAGUCUUUGUGGGCUCAUCUCAUCUCCCUCUGUCCUGUCUGAAGCACUGGGCGUUGCCCCACUCUGUCCUCGUCAUCUGUGCUCUCGGACAAGCCCAUCUACUCUCAUGGUUUUACCUUCCACUUUUGAGAUGGUGGCUCCCACUACUAUCCUGUGUGGGACCUGGAUCCCAUGUGCGUGUUUGUGGGCCUCCAGGGAUGGCACACUCAACAUGUCCCCAGCCCAAGCCAUCUUCUGUAUCCAUAACAUGCUCCACCUCUGCAUUUUCUCCCCAUUGGUGGCACCAUAAUCUACCCAGUCACUCUAGAAACUAGAAUCAUCCCUUGGUUCUCCUUAUCCCUUCCUCUUCACAUCCAGUCACCAAGUCCUGUGGCUUCCAAGGCAUUUCUCAGAGUCAUUCCCUCCUCUUUACCUCCACUUCUCCUACUAUUGGUCAGGGCAGGACCUUCAUCAUCCCCCAUCUGGAGUAUUCCAAUAGCUUCCUACCUGGCCUCCCCACUUCCAGCCUUGUCCUCUUCCGGAGCCUCCUUUCAGUGCAUCCUCCACAGUGGUGAAAAAGUUCUAUCUAACAUGCCAGCCCAGGCUGGGUGUGGUAGCUCAUGCCUGUAAUCUCAGCACUUUGGGAGGCUGAGGCAGAUGGAUUGCUUGAGGCCAGGAGUUCAAGACCAGCCUGGACGACAUGGCAAAACCCCAUCUUUAAUAAAAAUUAAAUAAAUACAAUUCCAGCCUGAACUUGUCAUGCCCUGCUUAAGAUGCAUUCAAAAUUCAAGCACCUUGGUUGGGUGCACAGGGUACAAGGUAUCCUUUCUUGAACCUCUGGUUCUAUCCCUGGCCACUCCCAGCUCUGCCACCUGGGACUUGUGGCAUGUGCUAUGCUCUUCCAUGUAGCUAGGCUUCCUCUCAGACUGUGUCCUCUGUUUGGAAUAUCUUUUCUCCCAUAUGCUUUCACUGCUGACUAAGACCCAGCUCAGAUGGCACCUCUUCUUGGAAGUCUUCCCUGAAUGCCCCAGGCUGGAUUAGACACUCUUCUUUUGUGUUCUUGUAUCAGUGCAAACAUCAGAAAAUCCACUUCAAAUGGGCUUAAAUAACAAUGAAAAUUGACUGACUCUUGUAACUGAAAGUCAAGGGAGCAGGACUCGCUGCAGAUGAUGUGUGAUCCAGGGGCUUAAAAUGAUGCCCUUGGGUGCUCCCAUUGCUUAACUCUGCCUUUUCCUGGGUGGGCUUUAUUCUUAGAGUCCUUGGAGGGAGUCCCAUCAGCUUCAGACUCACAUCCAGCCCACUUCAGUCCAGUGAAUUGUUCAAGCCAACACUUAGCUUAUUUGGACUUGACUAGGGAUUGACUUGCCCUUCUCCAAACCCAUCAAAAUGGCCAAGGGCUUACAGUGUUCUACUUCAGGGGUUGGUGGAUUAUGGCCAAAUCCUGCUUACCACUUGUUUCUGGAAAUAAAGUUGUAUUGGAGCACAGUCAUACUCAUUUGCUUACGUAUCAUCUGUGGCUGUUUUUGUGUGACCGGGGCAGAGUUGGGCAGUGGAGGCAAAGACCAGCAAAUUUUGCUGUAUUUUAACCUCUACAGGCUAUGAGGCAAAAUUGAGAAUAUGAUGCAGGGAUUUACAUAACAAGAGAGAAAACAAAUUUCCACAAAACUUUUAUUGAUGAAAUUAGAAUGACAAUAAUAAUUGAGAACUUUUGUUUGUACUACAGGUUUACUAAUAAGAAGAAUGAAAUUUGGGGAAAGGGGAUAACAUUUUGCUUGGUUGGGGUUCAAAGUUAACGCUCCCUAUUAUCAAAGUGACCACCAAUGUUCAUCUGUGAAAACCACUUAGCUAACAGACCAUACAAAACCAGGCAGGAUUUUGUCUGUGAGCCACAGUUUGCAGACUCCUGAAUUAAAUCAAAGCAUUACAGAGCUAAGGGAAGAGACAGUGGGAAGCUGAUGCUGGAGAUGAUACUGACCCCAUAGCACUUUGGGAGGCCAAGGCAGGAGGAUUGGUUGAGACCAGCCUGGGCAACAUAACCAGACCCCUUCUCUUUUUCUUUUUUUUUUUUGAGAUGGAGUCUCUCUGUGUUGCCCAGGCUGGAGUGCAAUGGCGCGAUCAUGGCUCACUGCAACCUCUACCUCCUAGGCUCAAGCGAUUCUCCUUCCUCAGCCUUCCAAGUAGCUGGGAUUACAGGCACCCACCAUCAUGCCCGGCUAAUUUUUGUAUUUUUGUAGAGACAGGUGUUUUGUAGAGAUAGAUGUUUCAUAUUGGCCAGGCUGGUCUUGAACUCCUUACCGCAGGUGAUCUGCCCGCUUCGGCUUCCCAGAGUGCUGGGAUUACAGGUGUGAGCCACCAUGUCUGGCCAUGAGACCCCUUCUCUACAAAAAAUACAGUAAUUAGCCAGGCAUGAUGGCGUGCGCUUAUAGUCCCAGAUACUCAGGAGGCUGAGGUAGGAAAAUCUCUUGAGCUCAGGAGGCGGAGGUUGUCAUGAACCAAGAUCUCACCACUGCAUUUCAGCGUGGGCAACAGAGCAAGACUCUGUCUCAAAAAACAAACAAAAAAAUAGAAAUCAGACUUCAGGCAAUAAUGCCCAGCCCCACAAACAAAGAUUUUGACCCUCUACCUCACUGCCUGCAGCCUUCAAUGCCUGGCCUCAUCUGGGUUCCUGAGGAGCAAGCCUGCAUCCUGUGUCCUGUGGGCAGGCUGUGGGCAGCCCUCCUCCAGGCUUACCUUGCCUCAGGUAGGGCUGCCCAAGGUCAGGGAGGGUGGGUGGAGGCAAUCAGAUGUGAAGGACAGAUGCUGAGUUCCUUUCCAGGAUGAUGAUUUGUGGGUACUGAGCAUGUGUGUUCUGGUACAUACAAAUACACAGACACUUCACACAUUCCCUGUCUCACACACGUUUUCACACUCCCAUAGUCACCUCCAUCUUCACUACCACCAUCUCAUACUCACAUACAUGCACAGUCUCGUGGUUUCUCACUUUUUUUUCUUUUUUUUUUUGAGAUGGAGUCUGGCUCUGUCACCCAGGCUGGAGUGCAGUGGCACGAUCUCAGCUCACUGCAACCUCUGCCUCCCUGGUUCUGGUGAUUCUCCUGCCUCAGCCUCCCAAGUAGCUGGGAUUACAACCAUGCACCACCACACCCAGCUAAUUUUUGUACUUUUUUAGUAGAGACAGGGUUUCACCAUGUUGGCCAGGCUAGUCUCGAACUCCUGACCUCAGGUGAUCUGCCCGCCUUGGCCUCCCAAAGUGCUAGGAUUACAGGUGUUAGCCACCGCGUCCAGCUGGCUUCUCACAUUUUUUCAUGCACUCUCAAGCUUGCACAACAUAUUCAUAUGCACAACAUGUUCAUACAUACCUCUAUUAGUUUCCUGGGACUGCCACAACAAAGUAUCACACACUGGGUAGCUUAAAACAACAGGAAUUUAUUGUAUCAGUUUUGGAGGCCAGAAGUCCAAAAGCAAGGUUCCUUCUGAGACUUGUGGGGAAGGGCCUUUCCUUGCCUUUGCUGGCUUCUGGUAGCCCCAGGUAUUCUUCGGUUUGGAGGUGCAUCACUCCAGCCUCUGCCUCCAUCUGUCUCUGUGUCUUCACAUGGACAUCUUAUAAGGACACUAGUCAUAAUGCAUGAGGGCCACUCUAUUCCAGUAGGGACUCAUCCUAACUGAUUACAUCUGCAAUGAUACUGGUUCCAAAUAAAAUCAUAUUCGGAGGUUCUGGGGUUAGGACUUCAAUAUAUCUUUUUUGGGGAGGAGCACAAUUCAACCCAAAAUACCACCUACAGCCAUAAAAUCUCACAUACAUAGGCCAUACUGCCAUAGUGACACAGAUAUAAAACACACAAUCCCAUAGUCACAAAAAUCACACACUCCCAUAUACACUUUCAGGAUCAGACACUCCCAUGGUCCCCCCACAUGCACGCAUACACACACAUGGCGAGGUCAUCACAUACACACUCCUUUAGUUUCCCAGUCUUACAGCCCUACACACCCCCUCCAGUCACACCCCUUCGCACACCCUCCUGCCCCCGCCUCACUCCCAGAGGCCACCCUGUGGAGGUCAUGCUCAGAGACCCGGCACAUUUGCAGCCUCGCACUUGGCUCAUACAUCUCACAUCCUCUCCCACCCACACAGUCUCUCCCCUCUGACUCCUCCGCCCAGCUCACCAGUUCCCGCACCAACCCUCAUGGCAAGGAGGCAACAGACUGGCUCUGUUCCACUCCAGCGGGGGCACCAGGUGGCUCCCCCCUUGUCCUCUGGAAUCUGAUGCCCCCACAAGCCUGCCUUUUCAGGCUCCCACGCUUCCCUCUCAGGGACAGACAGACAGAAACAUCCACACACUCUCAUGCUCACACACGCGCCCCUCCGGCAGCCCCACGGCAGCAGUCUGUUCCUCAUUAUGGGCCAAUGCGCCUGUUUACUCACCCAGCUGGAGAUGGUUAGAGAGUGAUAAAUAAUGAAAGAGAAAACAGGCUUUUCCCCUCUGUGGCUUCUAUUUAUGUAAUAUGUGUCACUGUGCAUUCACAGACUUUGUUUCGGAGCUGGUUGCAGGAAAUAGUUUAUUUUUUCCGGACGGUGGCUUAAGGGGUGGGGAGGUGGGGGGCAGGGUUUGGGUUUCUGAUCUCACGCCCAUAGGAGUUUCGGAAUCUGGCUCCCAGAGUCCUCUUCCCCUGGUGCCUCCUCUCCUCGCCUCCCCUGACAUCCCCGGGGUGGGCAUCAUGGCUAGAGGCUGCCUCAGAACCAGGUUCUCCCACUCCACCUAUUUGGAAUGGGCUGGGGUGGUUGGGGGCCCCUCCCAGCUGCCUCUGAAACCUCCCAGACAGAUGGGCUUGUUUUAAGAGCCAGACAGCUUGAGGCUGGACUCCCAGAAAGGAGGCAGUUGGACAGGGUCUUCCUAGGUAGCCUGCACCUGUUGUUGGGGGAGGAUGCAAAAGGAUUAAUUCUAUAAAAUAAGAAAAAAAAAGAUCCAUACCUCAUGUUCACUUAGCACUUUCAUCCCCGUGGUCUCUCUGAGGCCUCACAACUUUUAAUGGCUGCUUCCCAGGUGAGAGAACUGGAGGAGGGCUUGCCAUGGUCUGUGCAACUGGCUGAUGAGGAGCCAGAACUUCACACUCAGGCCUCUGAGUCCAGAAGAGCCUCACACACCCCACUGCCUCCUCCUCCCAAGGAUGCCUCCCUUGGUAAAGUUCUGGUUGCCCUCACUCAUUCUAAGGUGAUGGGAGUAGUUAUAAGGGUGUGGGGGUUGGAAUUUGGGGAAUGGUGAGUCAUCAGAGGUCUGAGAAGUGUCCCCUUCUCCACCCUUUCCUAAACAUUAAGGUGAGCCUCCUUUGGGUGACAAGCCAGGGAAGGAAGAAGCAGCAGAAGGCUGCCCUGCUCCCCAACCCCCAGUGCAGGGAGGCUCUUGGGAAGCUGGAAGGGCACCUGCCCCCACCUGAGCCUGUCUUUUUGAGUGCCAGGGCAGGGAGACAAUGUCUUUGUUUGACAUGGAGCCCUGGUUGUAUCCCAGGCCACCUGCUGGGGGGACCCAGAGGUUCUGACCUUUGAGGAAUAUAGCAUCCACUAUGGAAAAUGGGCCCAGAAGCCCCCAACUCCUGCAGACUGUGGGGGAUGAAUAUAUACAGGUGCCAUGGGAUUAAGGUGCAGGGCAGAAUCCUGCCCAGUGACCUCGGGGUUCUUGCAGGGAGCAUCCCACAGGAAUCUCCUGGCUGCGGGGUGAAGCAGCCACCUUCCCAAGACAAGGACUUUAAACACGGUCUGACAAACAAGAGCACAUAUGGGCCAAGGGCAAAAGAGAAAAAGUGCUAAGGAGGCGGUUUUCUAAUUUAGUGGGUGUCAGAUUCACAGGGGAGCUUAUUAAAUGCGGAUCCCCAGGCUCCUUUCCUGGCGUUGAUUCAGCAGGUCGGGGGGGUGGGGGGCAGGAAUCAGCAUGGUUAGCAAGUUCCUGAGAGUUCUUGGACUGGUGGUUUCCCAAAGACUGGGAGACAACAGUGCCCUAUGUGGGCCCUGGAGGCAACCCCCCUGCCCAACGCAUAAAGAUGAGAUGCAAGCAUCAUGGUUAGGUCAGGAGGGAAUUUGACUUCCCCCAAAGAGUGAGAAUGAUUUGGUUGGAGAAUGAUAAAAUUUAUUUGGUCCAAAGGAAGGGAGGGAGGAAGAGAGGAAGGAAAAUAUAAUUUACCAAUACCUAUAUGUGCCAAGCUGUUACAUGAUGCUUUUCGUUUUGCUUUGUGCUUUUGUUUUUCAGAGACAGGGUCUUGCUAUGUGGCCCAGGCUGGAGUGCAGUGGCACAAUCAAAUCAUAGCGCACUGCAGCCUCGAAUUCCUGGGCUCAAGCGAUUCUCCUGCCUCAGCCUUCCGAGUAGCUGGGACUACAGGUGCAUGCCACCAUGCCUGGCUGUUACACGACAUUUUUACCUGGCUGCUUUGACUUUUUGACAUUCAUAUCCAUUUUUGGAACCUAAAACGCUGUCAACAUUCUAUUUCUUAUUACCAAGUAAUGCUCAUACAGACAUACCCGCCACAGCCCGAGUCAAAACUUUGUGUCAGCUGGGAUGUUGUGCACACCUUGGAGCAUCUACCACAUGCCAGGCAUUGUGCUUUGCAUGUACUGCUUUGUUUUUCACUGCACCGCAACACCGACAGGCAAUACUAUUCCCAUUUUACUGAUGAGGACAGCAAGGGUCAGAGAGGUUUAGUCACUUGCCUAAGGCCACCCGGCUACAUCAACCCUGGCAACAGGAAGAGCUGGUGCUUUUGUUUUUUUACUGAUCCAGGGAGAGGCCCUAUUAGGGAGGUAGAGGGACUGAAUCCAGAUCCUGCUUUAUAGCCCCCUCUCCAGGACUCCCUCCCUCCCACUCUGGAAUGGAGAGGUGGAUGGAGAGGCACCCUCUCUGCCACUCACUCAACCCCUCUGCCUUUGGGACCCUAUGGACUCUCAUACAGCCCACCCAGCUUGCACCCUGAGCUCUCUCCCAAGAAGCUGAGCACCUGGGGUCUCAGGCACUCCCUUCCAAUUCAGUCCCUGGAGCACUUAUGGCUCUGAGGGAGUCCCCGGAGGGGGGCUGAAAGAGGUGGGGGAGCUUAAGGAGCACCUUUCCUGGGCUUCCAGGAGCCUCUUACAUCCCUAUCCCCUUGGCAGAAUGGGUGUAUCACAACUGGAGGGUGGGGGUGUAUGGGGACGGCAGAGCUGGCCAGACCUAUGGUCCCAGAUGUUUGUUCAGGCUGUGGGCUGAGCCUGAUUUCAGAUGUGUGGCAGCUUCAUGGGAGUCCUGCCCAGACUCCCACAUGGACACUCACUUGCUUACUUGCACACACGCGUGCCCUCAUGCGACUCCCCUCCACACAGAGUUCCACUUGUGAAAACCCAGACAAAGCUCCAGACUAAUGUCCCUGUGGACAGUGACAUGAAUGGUAAAAAUCAUCCUCAACCCCAGGUGCUCUGCACACGCUGACUCUAAACUUCACAUCGAUCCUGCAAGGAUGCUUUCCCUGAUGACCUCCCCCUACCCACCACACACCUUAUAGAUGAGAAAAAUGGGCUUCAGAAAAGCCAAGUGACCGGUCUGAGGCCACACAGCGACCCCACGGCAGAGUGGGGACUGGGGUCUGUCUGUUGGGGAGCUCACCCGCAUCCCUCUCACCAGGCUGCUUUUCCCGUCUGGCUCCCAGGACCCAGCAGGUGUUCAGCACGUCCACUGAUGAAUGUGUAUGUCUGUGUUUUCUUUCACACACAGUGCAGGCUCCAGCUGCCCCUCUCUCCAAACCCACUCUGAGCUGUGAUCUCCCUGCAGGCUCAGAAACUUGCAGACCACUUGGCUUCCUCUACAGCCAGAACUAGCGCCAGCCUGAAUUCUCUGGGCUCCAGCCUCAGUUUCCCCUGAGUUUCUUAGGCCUGCACACCUGAGCAAGUCCCUCCCUGCUUUGAGCAGACCCACAGCACUGGUUGGGCUCCUGCUCCAGGCCUGACCCCCACUGUGGAAGCCUCUGGGGUCCAGCCACCUCCAUUCUCCUCUCUUCUUCCCAAACGUCAGGCCUGGCACUGCCCCCGCUCAGCCCCCGCUCCCUACGGCCCCCUGGGAGCCCAGGCUUUGCUUGAGGGCAGCAAGUGAAGCCGGCUGUAACAGAGAAACCUCAGGCUCCUCUUUAGAAGUCCCCGGAGGAGGCAGAUCUGAGGAAAGGCUGCCAAGAAGGCGCCUGCAGCAAUGUCAGCUUGAGAACAACCCGGCUGACAGGAUGCUGAGCGGGGAUUAAGGUCGGGAUCAGGGAAGCCAGGGAAAUGAAGGCAAGUUCCCUGCUCCCCUCGCUGCCACCGCUGCCGCUGCGGCUGGGUUUGUCUUCUUGUUUGUUCUGGCUCUGGGAAACUGGGCGGGGAGGGAAGUGGGCAGGGAUGAGGUGGGGAGGUGGAGGGAAGGACAGGGGGGAGGUGGAGAAGGGCUGGUAUGGGGGUGGAGGGAGGUGGAGGGAAGAGAAAGUCAGGCCUCCUCUGGGUCUUGGGGCUCAGCCAGGGAUGGGGCAGAGGCACAGAUGGCCCUUACCUGGGACCCUUCCCCUAUACCUGUCCCUAUAGCUGGUCUGCCAGCCAGUGGAGCAGCCAGUCGCCCCCCGACCCCCACCCCGGAACCCUCCCUCAUGUCCUGAGUGUGGGUGGCAGGACCAGUGAGAACACAAUUGACCUUGCCCUGAGAGGCUCCCAGCUCAAUGAAGCAGAUGCAGUCUACCUCCAGAGAGGAGGUGAGCCUGUUUCCACCUGUCUACACAUGCAAGAUCCCCUGUUCUGGGGAAAGACCAUUACCCCAACCUGCCUCAUCAUUGACAUGUCACAAGAGUCCAGCCAAAUGGGCUACUGAUUUCCAGGUCAUCCAGUGCACCACAAUUCUAGUGAAACCUCAUAUCCUUGCAUUGCCAUUGGUGUGGUAGUGAAGAACGUGGCUUCUGGUUUCAGACUGCAAGGGGUCACCUUUUGGCUCUGCCACUGAUUUGCUAUGUCACAUUGGGCAAGCUGGCUAACUUUCUAUGCCUCAGUGGGAUAAAAUCAUAGCACCUCCUCAUAAACUUGUCAGGAAGAUAGAGGGAGUGGACACGUGCGAAGUGCUUGGCAUAGGGCCUGCCAUGGAGGACAGAAGACAUACGCCAUAGGGUAGCUUUAUUUAUUAUUGAGGCAGAGUACAGGAAUAAGUGUGGCAAUUUGAAGUGACUUGGCUGAAAGCUUCCUGGGGGAAGGGGUGUGGAAAUCUGAUUUUGGAAGCUGAGACUGGGCAGGGGUAGAGAAGUGAAUUAGGGGUAUGGAACAGAGCUCCCAUUUGCCAGGUGAGUGAGUUAAGGAUGUAUCUGGUGAGAGGCAGAGAGGAUGCAUUUUCUAGAAGCCCUCAUCCCAGCCAGGCUUUCUCCAAAGUUCCCACUUUAACUAGGGGUAACUCUUCCAGCCCUGCCAAGGGCAAGCCAGGGGUGCCAAGACCAUGAAAAGAUGCAGUUUUUCAUGGUGACCUUCCCAGAAUGGAGUCUAUUCUAGAAACCCUAGCCAUUCAGGGAGACUCCACUUGUACCUGGGUUUUCUGGACCUGGCAAGGGAAGAAACAGGCACAGAGAGUACAAACCUGGAGGCAGAUCAUCCCUGGGGUUGGGUUCCAGCUCUGUGACUGAUCAUCUAUGUGCCUUGGAGCCAGUCAAUUAGCCUCUCUGGACCUUAGCUGCAGGGUCUGUGAAAUGAGAUAGUAAUAUGUACCUUAGAGUUGUAAUGAUGAGCAGUUACUCCAUAACUAUCCACUGUUGAUAUUCAGCUUAGCAAAGAGUUGCUGAGGUCCAGCCAGCUACUGGGGCCCCAGUGAAUGAGAGACCCUUUCCUAGCCCUUGAUAGCUGGUGGCCUGCAUGUGAGUCCAAAUAUGAUGCUGAAGGCAGUGGUGCUACCUUAAAGGUCCACCUGGGAACCAAAGAGAAGGAGUUCCUGGCAUCCACAUCCCAGGCUGCAGGGCCUGCUCCCCUGGCCCACCCUGCAGCCCUGCUUGGGUGUCCCUAUCUCUGGACACCCUGGCCAGCAGGCUGGGGAUGGGGAGAGUGUUGUAGGGGGAGGGGAAUGAGAACCUAGGAUGGGGUUCUGGUAAUUGGGGAAAAGCUUUGCUGGGUCUGAUUUGUGGGGGAAAGCCUUAGGCAAGGAGGCCCAGUCCCUGCAGAAGUGUGUGAGGAGCACCUUAUUGGGGAUUUUAUCUCUAGGGGCCUGGUUCUAGAAUUUUAAAAACACCUUUUCUUUUCUUUUUGUUCUGUUAAUAGAAGUUAUGUAUAUUUAUUGUUUAAAAAAAUGGAAAAUACAGGCCAGGCAUGGUGGCUCAUGCCUGUAAUCCCAGCACUUUGGGAGGCUGAGGCGCGUGGAUCAUGAGGUCAGGAGUUCAAAACUAGCCUGGCCAAGAUGGUGAAACCCCGUCUUUGCUAAAGCUAUAAAAAUUAGCCAGGCGUGGUGGCAGGUGCCUGUAAUCCCAGCUACUCGGGAGGCUGAGCAGGAGAAUCGCUUGAACCUGGGUGGCAGAGGUUGCAGUGAGCCAAGAUCCAGCCACUGCACUCCAGCCUAGGUGACAGAGUGAGACUCCAUCUCAAAAAAAAAAAAAAAAAAAAAAAAGGAAAAUACAGAAAAGCAUAAAAAAGGAAAUAAAGAUCAGCCAUAAUCUUCCCACCCAGAGAUAACCAUGGUACGACUUUAGUGUAUCUCCUAGUUUUUUUUAAGCUGACUCUCAAACACACAUUUACACACACUCACAUGGACACACACAUUCACACACACAUAUUCACAAAUAUACACUCACACGCACUCACACAUUUACAUACACAUAUAUGUAACUUUUUGUUACAUGUUUAAUGUACACAUGUCUUUAAAAGUUCAGAAACAAGAUCAUGGAAUCAUGAAUACAUCACCAUUUUGUCAACUAAUAUUUUUAUUAAAUAAAAUAUUGAUAACUUUUUCCCCAGGUCAUGACAUAUUCUUCUCCAACAUAAUUUAAAAUGACUGUAUAGUGCUCUGUCUUUGGGCAUAAGGCAUAUCAUUUUAUCAGUCAUCACCUGUUGGUCAUCCAUCCAUUUCUAGAUUUUUGCCAUUAUAAAUAAUACUGAGGUGAACAUCCUUGCAGAGAAAUCUUCGAGGGGGUCGCUAACUUUCCAAUUGUCUAUUCAUGUCUGUCUACUCCCGGCUUCGAUUUUGAGGCUUUCUAGGCAGGAUCUGUGUCUGGUUUGUUGUGACCCCAAAGUCUAGCUUGGCUGCUGGUUCACUGUAGGCAUCCAAUAAUGGUUGAAUUGAGUUGCUUUUCUAGAGCAUGUGCCCUCGGCUGAGGAAUUGGGAAGGUGGAUAGAUGAGGAAAGAGCCCACCUUUCCUGCUAGAACACUCAGGGGUCCCCAGUGCCUCUAUGCUGGACCUGCUAACUUCUCCUAGGAAAACACCUUCCCAAGCACAGAGCCACUGGCCAUCCCAGAGGCUCACUGAAUGGCCCUCCUGUAUCUCUUAUCUUCCUUGCCUGGACCCUCCCCCCUCAUCCCCUUCCCCCCUCCGCCCCCGAUCUCUGACUCUUGAGUUCUUUUGUUGUGUUUUCAAGCUGAAGGCCCAGCAGACAGAGCCCUCUCACCUGCCCGUGUCUGCUGGACAAUGUUGCGGCAGCUCCCAGCUCCCCAUACAGUGGCCUCCUCCGUGGCCCCCACUUUUGACAGCACAGCCUGCUUGGCUCCUGAGAAGUGCCCACGUGGCACACCUCACCCCUGCCCCUGCUCUGCCUGCCACCUCUCAUGGCACCAAAGGAGCCUUUGUCCCUUCCUCAUGGGGGCUCUCAGCAGAUGCUGACGUUCUGACUGAAACAGAUUUGUAGAAUCAUGGAUUUUGAAGUGGGGACCCAGGUCCCAGUGUUUCAGUGGGUCUUUAAAAAAGAGAGAAAGGGAGAGAGAGAUGGAGAGAGAGAGAGAGAAAGUGAGCAACAGCACGAGAGGUAAGAGGCAAAAGCUGAGAGGUAAAACUUACUAACUUAAUUUCCCCUCACCAGCAUCCACACUCCCAACCUCCUGGAAUUUCUUCUCUUCUUUUCAAUUUUUAAUCUCUUCUUUUCCUCUCUUUUCUCUCCCUCUUCCCCCUUUUCACUCCUUUCCUUCUCCUCUUUCUCUGUCUCUCUCUCAGUUCUGACAUGAACACCCCCCCCACCCUCCUGUCCCCCUCCCCUCCUCUCCUCCUCUCCCCUCCUCUCCCCUUCUUUUUUAAGUUUUUUUUUUUUUCUUUUAACUUUCAAGGUCAUUCCGGACUCCUGACGCCGCCAGUCCCGCGGUGAGACGUGAGCGCCAUUGGCGUCCGUGGCCUCUGUUUCCGUGGCAACCUAGUAACCAUUAAUUUUCAAUUAAAGGAGACAAAAAGCUCGAUGACAGCUCCAGGUCUGCUGAAGAUGUCAAGAAUCUGUAUUAAUAUACAGCAAGAGAGCAUAAUUGUGUGUCCAUCUUCCAGAGCAGCGAAAAAUGGAGGGAUAAUUACCAGCUCGAAAGCCACUCUGUAAUUUAGUUCUUACUGUCACCACAGCCCUACACAUUAGCAUAAAUUAAAAGCAGAGUUUAUUGUUAUCAAAGUGCAUUGAUAUCGCCAGACCUGCUUUCUUCCUUUUAACUGUUUGUUGUGGGUGAGUGACUCCCCAACUCUUGCCAGGGUCUCCCCAGGGUGGGGAGAGUGGAAGUGUGGCUGCUAGACCUGAAAGGUCUAGCUGCCAGCCUCCUUCAGGGCAGGUGGGGACAAGGGUCAGCGUGUUGCCCCUCUGAUAGGGUCUGGGGAUGAUGCAGGGGAUGGAGGAGGCUUGGAUAUUUAUUCACCUUUCACAUGUAAGUGCUUUGUUUUGCCAACGAGUGCUCCAGCUCUUUGCAGAGGGGGCUGCUGCCCCAUCGCGGGUCCCCCUUUAGUGCCUAGUACAGUGCAGGGCAGGUGAUGAGUGCUCUAAGGCAAUGUGUUAAACAAAGGAAUGAGUGCAUGUGUAGGGGUGUUCUCCCGGGGUGAAUGUCAGUGGAGAGACAUUGCAUUCCCUGUUCAGGGCGUGGCCAGCUCAGGUGGAGAUGCUCCUGUCUGUGGCCCAGUUCCUGCUUGGCCACCCAGGACCCCAGCUCCCCAGAGGGGUCCCUCUGGACCCCACGCCCCUAAUCUUGCCGCUUGGCCACCCACCUCCAUGGCCUGGGUGCUGCCACGGCCACCGCCUUCAUACUCACCUCCGAGUGGUUGGAGAACCUCGAAGUGUCUCGCUGCCAGAGUACCAGUGACAGCCACAGAAAUCAUGAGUUUCCGUGAAUGGGGGAUGCGGAGUUUUCUUGUAUUCUAUCCAGAGAGAGCUGUCCUUCAGAGGGGAAUUUAGUGUAAUUACCCUUAAGGGAGCGAUCCUUACACAGUCAGUCACAACACUGACCUCCUGGCUGAGAUUUGACAGCAAAAUUGCAGGCUGUGUACUCAACAGAAGGGGCAUCCUCCUUUUUUGGGUGUUGAGGGGGGAGGCGGGAAGGAAGGAGGAGGAGGGAAAGGAGACUCAGAGGCUUUGAAAAGAAAAGUGCUGGCUUACAGCUGCCAGGCAAGCGGGUUCUCCUUGGCAAGGCGUCUACAGGGCAAGGAGAAGGUGUCCAGAGAUCCCCUGGAACUUCACCUGGCUCAUGAAGAGGGGCCAAGGUAGGCACUCCAGCCCUUCAGAUCUUUGAGCUCUGGUUUGUGAUCUUAGCUAAAGUUAAUCUUAUUGUAAGAAGGAUUUGGAGGGUACUAGGCACUAUUUGAUGAACUUCUCAGGCAUGUUUUCCCAAACAUAUCUGUCCUCGGUCCCUCCCCGGUGCUAGAAGUUCCACUGUUCCUUUUACCUUUAAGUUGACAGAUCCAAGACCCUGUAAACCUGCAUCUGGGUUACCUGGAAGGACUAAUGUGUUAAUCUGUGACCACUCCAAAUUUAGCAUGGAUGCAUCUCUCAGAUGUGCUGGCCCAUCACAUGACUGAAGCCAAAGGACACAGGGGUCAGGCAAAUUUCCGUGAAGGAUUGGAAAAAAUCUGUUGUAUGGGUAGAUCUUGAUGGACUGUGAAGCCUGGCAAGGAAUGGAGGUAAAUCCCCAAAUCUCAAAGCUGGAAGGGAUCCCAGAAGCCAACGGGUCCAAACUUCGCAGAGAAGGAGUCCCCACCUCUCUGUUCUACCUCUACCCAAAACUCAGGGCUGGGCGCGGUGACUCACGCCUGUAAUCCCAGCACUUUGGGAGGCCAAGGCAGGCAGAUCACCUGAGGUUAGGAGUUUGAGACCAGCCUGGCCAACAUGGCAAAACCCCGUCUCUACUAAAAAUACAAAAAUUAGCCAGGCAUGGUGGCACGCGCCUGUAAUCCCAGCUACUUGAGAGGCUGAGACAGAAGAAUCACUUGAACCUGGGAGGUGGAGGUUGCAGUGAGCCAAGAUAGUGCCAUUGCACUCCAGCCUGGGUGACAAGAGUGAAAUUCUGUCUCAAAACAAAAAACAAACAAAAAACAAAACAAAACAAAAAACAACUCAGCCACCUCUGCCCACACAAUUCCUAAUAGCACGAGCUAGCUGUCUCUAUAGAGGUCCAUCCUGCUGUUAAAUAGCCCGGACCAUUGCCAAAUUCCUCCUGAGUGCAAAUGAAAAUCUGUGUCCGUGAAACUUCUUCCUUCCUUUUGGAGCCCCUUUGGAACAAAUCUAGGCUUUCUCUGGCGGGACAGCCCUUCAGCUACGUGGGGACCAUGCUCAGCUAUUAGUCGUCUUCUCCUCCAAGUCUGGGACCCAGUAGACUCAUCACCAUCUGGCUCAUCCUUUCAGGAAAGUGCCCAAAAGGAGUCUGAAAGGGCACAGGACAGCCCAAAAUGCAAAUCCAAUGUUUAUUGAGCAUCUGCUAUGUUCCAGGCAGAAACACCCACCAUAUCUCUUUUCUUUUUUUUCUUUUUUUGGAGACGGAGUCUCGCUCUGUCACCCAGGCUGGAGUGCAGUGGCACGAUCUCAGCUCACUGCAGCCUCCACCUCCCAGGUUCAAACAAUUCUCCUGCCUCAGCCUCCCAAAUAGCUGGGACUACAGGCUCAUGCCGCCAUGCUCAGCUAAUUUUUUGUAUUUUAGUAGAGAUGGGAUUUCACUGUGUUGCCCAGGCUGGUCUCAAACUCCUGAGCUUAGGCAACCCGCCCGCCUCGGCCUCCCAAAGUGCUGGGAUUACAGGUGUGCACCACUGCGCCUGGCCCCAUAUCUCUUUUCAUCCUCUCAACCAAUUCAAUGAAGGGAGGAUAUAUUAUUCCCAUUUUACCGUAGAGAAAAGAAGGACGCAAGAAGCUUCAAAUCACUUGCCCCAAAUCACCUGCCAGCAAGGGGCAGAGCCAGAACUGGGAGCCCAGACUCCUGACCCAGGCCAAAGACUUUCCUUGAGAAUCCAGCUGCGUUGGUCCCUACACCCCUUGGCCACCACUGGGUUUGGGGAAUGAGCUCUGCCAUCAUUCUCCUGUCUCUCUACCUCCAUGAUGCUUUUCUGCAGGGCCUUUCUCUCCACUUGGCAGGGAGAAGGAAUUCCAGGGAAAACCCAGCUUAAGUCCUGCAUCCUCCCUGAAGGCUUCCCUGCCCAUCCCAGGCCUCAGUAACUGCUUCAGUAUAAUGACAACAUUGGACGUUAUUUACUGACCACAGGACUAUGCUUCAGCACCUACCCUAAGGUAUUUUAUUCAAUCCUCCAGGCUUUUGCCCUGGCUGAGGGUUCUGCCUGAGCUUCUCUCCCCUCAGAUACCUGCAUCUCCUUGAAGGACCACCUUCUCUGGGAGGUCCAACCUAACCAUCCUUUCCCAGGUCUUUGUACCCGCUUUAUUUCUUUCUAUAGCUCAUGUCACCUUCCGAAGAGUAUUUAAUUUACUGAUUAUUGUGCUCAUUGCCUAUCUUCCUCCUCUUUAAGUUCCAAAAGGACAGAGGCUGUAUUUUGUUUACUGUUGCAUCCCAAGCACCUAGAACAGUGCCUGACAUACGGUAGGUGUACAAGCGAUAUCUGUCAAAUGACAGGAGGAAAACUCAAAACCCUUUGAGGCAGGUGUGUUGUUUUCACAGCAGAGAGGAACUAGGGCUCUAGUUCUGGGUUAGGUGGCUUGUCCAAGGUCACAGAGCUGGCCAUACCCAGCUGUGUAUUGGGCUGCUGAGUAUGAGGCUGUUUGGGGUGGGCCUUGAGCCUGAGCCUGUUCUGAGCUUUGUGUGUGUGUGUGUGUGUGUGUGUGUGUGUGUUUGGUGGCUUCCUAGGGGAUUUCUGCCUGCAUUCCAACCAGCAGGUCCUUCCAGGCACCCCUCCCCUCCUUUACAGGGCUUCUUCCCUUCCUGCAGCUCCUUUCAGCCCCUGCUUUCUUGCCCCAAGCCUGGAGAGGCCUGUGAGUGCAGUCCAGCUAACUUCCCUCCCCUGAGCUCAUGGGUCCCUGCCUGGGCUGAAGUCCACACCGGGAGCCCAAGGUGCCCCUGGAAGGCCCCCACCCUGGCCUCCGAGUGGUUCCUCUCCCCAGAGAUGUAAAUCCGGGCCCCAGAGUGGCCACACAGAACAUACAUCUUAAACAAACACUUCUCCUUGCUGUUUAUCUCCCUGGCCUUUAAACAAACUCUUUCAAAGGUUUCUGCUGAUAGGAGAGAUUUACUGAAAACCAUUCCUUGCUUAAAAGCCCUGGGUUUAUGCUGCUGGGGUGGGGGCAGUGGGGCCUUCAGGCCUGGGGUUUCUCUGCCUCCGGACCACAUGUUUAUCCUCCAGGCCUUGAUAGAGGAGCAACACAGACUAAUCUUUAUGGAAAAGAAAAUAAUAAAAGCAGGAAAGGGGAGGGGUGGAGGCUGGGGUGCGUUUGGUUCUUGUCACUGACUCCAAGAGGUUGUGGCAGGUCCGGGUGUGGCAGUGCCCACCACACUGUAGCCCUGCCUGUUGGGGGUGGGGUGAGCUGAGCAUCUGGGAGGGGUGGGGCUCCCUUGAACUUUGGACAGAAGGCCUUUGGGCAGGUGAGCCUCUUCUCCGGCUUCCAGAGGCCAGAGUGGGCCUCUCCCUGCUGGAUGGGGGUUGGAGGGAGGGCAGCAGUCACAUGAUCAUGUCUAUUCCUGCAUCAACCAACAGUCAGAAGGCACCUAGCCUGUGCCAGGACCUGGGGGUGGAGAGAGGAAUAGUUGUUAACAAUUACUUUAGCAUUUCUGUGGGCCUGGUACUGUUCUAAAUCGCUUACAUGAAUCAACUCAUUUAAUGGCCCCAGUAGAUUCUAUAAUUAUCCCAAUUUUGCAUAUGGGGAAACCAAGUCACAGAAAGAUUACUGGCUGUACUCCAGAGGUUUUGGUUUAACUGGGAUGCAGGCUGGGCAUUGGAUUCCAGGAUGCAUCCCAAGUGGAAAAAGAUUGACAUUCCCAUUUCCCACCCACUCCCCACUUGUCCUUCCAAUAAUACAGUAUCUCUUCCAUUUCAAGGCGUCUCACAAUUCAUUGACAGUGGUAUUUUUUUCUUAGUGGAUCGUAAAAUAAUGGUGCAUCUUACAGUCUUAGGUUCAACAAAAUAUAGUAAUAGAAAACUAACCUCUACCAACUGUGGGGACUGAGCUGGAUGAUUUGCAUCCAUUAUCUCAUUUAAUCCACCUCCCAAAGCUGCAACAUAGGUCACAGGAGCACCUCUGAUGAGAAAACUGAGGCACCAAGAAUUCAAUAACCUGCCCAAGAUCACCCAGCUGGUGGGAGGUGGAGGCAGGAUUUGAACCCACAGUUAAAUGGCCUAAUAUUUAUCCCCAACCCUUAUAGAGCACCUUAUAUGAUUCAAACUGUCUUCCGACCUGUUUUGUCCAUUGAGGAAGACGCUGAAAUCCAGAAAGUUUAAGUGACCUGCUCUAAGUUACACAUCUGACUUCUCAACCUAUAACUGUGGGAGAACCAUGGGAAGUGGGUUUCGUUGUUAUUAUUGUUGUUUGCUUGUCUUAAGCCUACCUGGGCUUUUAUAGCUAGAAGCCACUCCUAAGAGAACAUGACCAGGAAAGUGGGCCAGGGCCAGGGCAGGGGCCCCUGAGAGUAUGGGCCAUCCUGGGGUCUUGGGUGCUGAAGGUUGGAGCCAAGGCCUGUCGUGGGACCUCCCAAGGGCAGAGGACUUGAGCAGGGGCAGAUGUCAUUGCAAAGACUCCACUGACUUCCGUCUCUGUUUUGUUUGUGAAGCGAAGUUGCUGCAGUGGCAGGUGGGGAGGCAGCAGAAGGCCAGGUAGGAAUUUCCAGUCCUUCCCUGGGCCCAUAGCUCAGGCCGGAAGCCACUCCCUUCCUCCAUGUUUACAUGCAGCGGGCCACACCCCUUCAGAUGGCACAGACUGACACCCCCUUCCGGUCCCCCUGCUCCAGGCCAAAUACUUUUUCACUCACGUUAAAGCACCUUUCAGCACCUGGGCCCUGAGCUGGGGAGCAUUUCCAGGGAGGAAAGAAGGGAGAGGGUAUGAGGAGGAGGCUGGGGGUGGGUUGAGGGAAGGUGAGGAGCUGGGGGUAGUGGAGACUAGGAUGAAGUUAUGUGAGUGAUUGUCUUGCACCCAUCAUCUUUCUUUUUGUAUUAUUCUUUCCUUAUAUAGUGACAUCCAGUUUCCAAAACCUUUCCUUCCUCCUAGCAACUCUUACCCUAAGAUACUUAAUUCACACCAAGGUAAACACGACUAAUAACAGCUUCCAAAGUGAUCCUUUCAAGGGCAUUUUGGCAGUGGCCUCUUUAUUUGUUCAUUCAUUCUUUGAUUUCCUCAACAAUUUCCUUUGGCAUUCCUGGAGACCCUCCAUCCUAUCUCGAAGGCUUAGCUGGGACACCUCUAAGCUGUUUGGUGGGCUGCUGUCCAAACUCUGGGCUUUGUGGGUAGUGGCAUCCACACCCUCUGACAGCAUGUAGGUAUAUUGGCAGCAACCCAAGCUGUCUUUUUUGCACCUUCAAUGGAAGGAAAGGCAAUUUCUCCUCAUGAAAAAAGUUUGGGAGACUUUACCUAAAUGUAAAGGGAGGUGCUUUAAUGAUAUAUCUCCAGGAAUCAAACCCAUCAGUCCAUCUGAGUUUGGUCAUGGGCUGAGCUCCCCAGGGCAGCUGGGCAGGAGCCCUUCCAGGACAUCAGAACUUGGGGUAGAAUUUCCACCCCACUGGCCCUCAGGGCUCUGCAUAGAUUUCUCUCUCUGUCCUUCUUGGUAGGGAAGUGGCUGAUCAUGAGGAAGACCCUGAGCUCAGAGCUGGAAGAUAUCCAGGGACCCAUCCACCCAGUAGUUUGCAGAGGACAAAAUGACUCAAAAGUAUACCGAAAUCCAAAAUAUAAAACAGCUAAGAGUUAAAGCUCCAGUUGAAGGCAAAGGUCUAGACCCUGCCUCCUCUGCUCUCCCACUUGGCCCAUAAGUGGUCCAAAGCUUCUCUGUGGACCUCCAAAGCUCAGGAGAACACGAAUAGAAUCCACUGAGCCAGUCUAGUGAUCCAUUUUAUAGACAAAGAAACUGAGUCAGAGCAUGAUGGGAUGGAUGUGAGUCCUUAGGGGCCUCCACCCUUCCAUGAUCACUUCUGGCUCAUGUUCAUUCCCUGGACUCAUAAUGUACCCUUCUUUCUAACUUGACCUGCACAAUUCUACGGACUCUUCAGGCUCAGCUCAAAUGUCACCCUCCACCAUGGAGCGUUCCUCAAUUCUCUCCUCCAGUUCUGGCCCUACUCCCACCCAGUUCGGUGUUCCUGGAGCUCACUGCUUUUGCAUCUCUCUUAAGUUCAACCUCUCAUUUCUGCCCAUUUGAAGCAGCUCUUUUCUCCCUUGUCAGGCUGUUGGUCUCCUUGAGGUCAGGAGGUUUUUAAAAAAUCCCAAGCCUCCAGCCCAUGAGUAGGUGUGCAAUCACAGUGAGGCUGCUGACAUGUUUUCUUGGGUGAUGGUGAGAUGCUUUGCCCACUGGGGUCAGGGUCUCCCUACUGGACGGCCCUAGUUCUCAUCAAUUUGGUGGGGAGGGCAUAGAGUUUGAUUAAACAGUUACUUGGAUACCUGAAGUAGGGCAGGGAAGGGGAUACAGAACCUUCAGAGCCUGGGGAGGAGGGACCCUUCUGCUCUAAAUUGUCCACUCGCUCCAUCCUCAAGAAGAUGGAGAGCAGAAACAGGGGCAGGGGAAGAGAGCUGGGCCCCGCACACUUCCCACCAUCACUGAUUUCCCUCUUCUCUGGCAUUUUAAGAGCUCAGACUCAAACCCUUCAAGGGCUUUUGAAACAAUUAGAUUUGAAAGUGCCCAGUGCUUGGUCUAAUUGCUUAAAAGCCACUUCAGGCUUCAACUGACCCAGAGUAAAGCCUGGGGGGUGGGUAGAGGGGAGGGGAGACCCGAGACACUCUGUCGCCCUGUUUCCCAGGCCUUCCUGGACAACCAAGGCCUAGGUGAGUGGUGAUGCCAAAUAAGGGCCUUCAACUUUUCCCGGGGGGGCAGAGCCACCAUACUCUUCCUGCCCCUUUCCCAGCCCUUGCCCCCAGGGAACCGCUCACAUCUAACCUUUCUCUAAGAUACCUUCUCACGCAAAUUCCAGCAUUCCUAGGGGUGAUUGGAGCACUUAUGUCCAGAACCAAUUUUCAGUGUCAAAAAGUGGACUGAGCCAGUGUAAAGAGGCCGAGAAGUAUCAGGAGACAAGCCUUGGUGUGUCCAACUCAAGAUGAUGCUUUGCUUCUGGGAUAUUCUGAGAUUGGGGAUUUUGCAAUCUCUAAGUCAGUUCCAUCUCUCCAUGCUUUCGUGAUUACUCUUCUCCCAAGUUCUUUUUUUUUUUUUUUUGAGACAGAGUCUUGCUCUGUCACCCAGGCUGGAGUGCAGUGGCGCGAUCUCGGCUCACUGCAAGCUCCGCCUCCCAGGUUCACACCAUUCUCCUGCCUCAGCCUCCCGAGUAGCUGGGACUACAGGCACCCGCCACCAGGCCCAGCUAAUUUUUUUGUAUUUUUAGUAGAGACGGGGUUUCACCAUGUUAGCCAGGAUGGUCUCGAUCUCCUGACCUUGUGAUCUGCCCGUCUUGGCCUCCCAAAGUGCUGGGAUUACAGGUGUGAGCCACCGCA
rnacentral:lncRNA from 1 species